rnacentral:rRNA from 1 species
GACAGAGGGUGCAAAACGUUGCUCGGAAUCACUGGGCGUAAAGGGCGUGUAGGCGGGAAGGAAAGUCAGAUGUGAAAGCCCUGGGCUCAACCCAGGAACUGCAUUUGAAACUCCCUUUCUUGAGUGUCGGAGAGGAAAGCGGAAUUCCUGGUGUAGAGGUGAAAUGCGCAGAUAUCAGGAGGAACACCGGUGGCGAAGGCGGAUCUCUGGGCCAUUACUGACGCUGAGGAGCGAAAGCGUGGGGAGCGAACAGG